CUGCUGCCUUCCGUAGGAGUCUGGGCCGUGUCUCAGUCCCAGUGUGGCCGUCCGCCCUCUCAGGCCGGCUACUGAUCGUCGCUUUGGUAGGCCGUUACCCUGCCAACUGGCUAAUCAGACGCGGGCCCAUCCUGUACCACCGGAGUUUUCAGGAAAAGCCAUGCGGCUUCUCCCGUUAUGCGGUAUUAGCACCUAUUUCUAAGUGUUAUCCCCCUGUACAGGCCAGGUUGCCCACGCCGUUACUCACCCGUCCGCCA
rnacentral:rRNA from 1 species